CGAGUGGAAAUGAUGACGCUUUUCCCUUGAGUGAUUAUGAUGAGUCCUUGUUUGUCCUUCCUCUUCAAUUUCUCUUCAUUUUCCUUUCCGUCGUCAACAAGGUCACACUCACAACAACAAGUAGAAACUGCGAUGAGGAAAGAGAAAAGGAAACCACUUCUACUUCACCUCCGCUACUACUAGCAAGUUUUUACCAUCACCAACCUCCCAAUCCAAACAUCUCUCUCUCUCUCUCUCUCUCUCUCUCUGUGAUAUCGCUUUUCCUUUUUAUUCCGUAUAGAGAGCCAGCCAGUCCAUGCUCUAUAUGUUCCAUCCAAUCCCACCACUAGCACCGACCUAGCCCCUCCUCAUGGCCCAUCUGGGGCUUUUCUUUUCUUUUUUAAACCAACUUUCUUUUUCUUCAUAAUUUUCUUCCCUUUUUAUUAAUUUUCUUAUUUGGUUUAUUGGGGGUUUAAUUUAAUCAAAUCACUGUGUGCCUCCUUAUUUAUUUCCUGCCAAAAUUGACCAUCCCCUGUUCCCACGAAUCUCCUACCAAAAUUCAAUGGAUCCCCAGUAUAUCUCCCACCAAAUCUAGGGUUUUUGCUAGGGUUUUUCUUUUAACUAUUGCCUUCCUCUAUCUAUUGGGUCGGCUUUACCAUCUCCUACUGCUAUCAACUCUACUAGCCUCUCUAUUUCUGUCGUCUUUUCUUCUCCUUCUUUCCUUUCCGAGUCUUCCUCUGCCGCUAUCUGGCUAUCUGGGUUCUACUCUGUUUGGCUAAAAACAACUGUCAUUCAUGGCGUAUCCGAGUUCUGGGUCGAGUUCCAGUUCCGGCCCAUCUGGGUUCCAGUUCCAGAAUUCCCCUUUUGGUGACACGACCUACACCAAGGUCUUUGUUGGGGGGCUCGCCUGGGAGACGCACAGCGACACUAUGCGCCGCUAUUUCGAGCAGUUCGGAGAGAUUCUCGAGGCCGUUGUUAUUUCCGAUAAGAACACAGGCCGAUCCAAAGGCUAUGGCUUUGUGACUUUCCGAGAACCAGAGGCUGCUGCACGAGCCUGUGCCGAUCCAACUCCAAUUAUCGAUGGCAGGCGGGCAAAUUGUAAUCUGGCUUCACUCAGGCGGCCGAGGCCACCUAUGCAUUAUGGGCGCCCGAGACCAGCUGCUCCAUACAUUGGAAGCAUGCAAGCUACCCGAGGGGCUUACAUUGGAGGAUAUGGCUACCAGCAACCUGUUCCUUACAACUAUCAACAAGGGCUAAUGUAUCCUAAUUAUGGGUAUGCAACUUAUGGACCUGAAUACACUUAUUCACAGGGUGUUUACAACCCCUAUGCGGGUCAGCAAUAUCUUCAGAUGUAUGGAGUUCCAGGGACGGUUAAUGCUGCUCUUUAUCCUUAUGGACAACUGGGUCAAACAAUACCUGGUGGUCAGGGUUAUCCUACAGUUCAUGGAUAUGCAAUGCCUGCUCAGCAGAUAGUCCAAUUUGGUGGACCCAGUGUUAAUGCAGUUACAACUACCCCAGUGCCUACAGUUCAAGCACCAUAUCCUACAGGUAUGGUAGCAAGUGUUGCGGCACAACCACAUUUUAUAGUUUCUGCUCCCCAAUAUAUGCAGGGUAGUGGUUCUGAGCAAACAGCUGGGUGAGGGGUUGAUUGAGGUAUCCUUAGAUUGCAGCAGGACUAAGAGCAGCAGAACUGCUACUUAAGUGGCGGGCUUCAGAUCUAGCCUUGCAAAUUUUAUUUUGCAUUCUAGAGGUCAUACGUAGUCAUGCUCACCAGAGAAAACAGAUGUCUGAGUCGCUCCAAAUGGCAGAGAAGGAUGGAGGAAACCUGCUGCUCUUCGCUGUAGGACGUUUAUCCUCGGUGCAUCUAAACCUUUUUACUUCCGUUACUCAGGAAAAGUGGCGGGGGGUGUCAUUGAUUGGAGGGUGCUGGAAUCAGGUUUCUAGCAGCCAUACAGGAAUAAAAAAAUCUCUGUAAAAAGUCAUGUUAGAAUCAACAUAUGAUUCUUUUAUAUAGUCUUGCCCCAACAUUUUGGGUGUAUAGUCUCUGGUGUCGUGUGUUGGUUGGUCCAUAAUUGUAAUGUGGUUCAAAUGUUGUGCAUAAUAGUGCUAGGAUUUCGGCUGAAAACUAAAGCCCCUGUAGUUUAUAUAAUUUCGAGUGCCUGGCUUCACAAGGAGAGAAGCUUCAGGUGUAUUCUAUUUCUUUGGAAAGGAGAAUUUUUUUGUACUGAUAUAGUAAAACUCGUCUCGUCUAUUGAUAUUGAUCCUUCUGAUUUGAAGGAUGUGGAGUUUA